UUUGCGUGUAGAGAACACAUUAACGUUCGAAUGGGCUUCGCAGUGUAAUUGAAUUUUUCGGUGUGAUUUUGGUGAUUUUAAAGAAAAUACCAGGCCACCGAGUUGAGGCGUCCGCCAAAGAUUCUUCGAGUAAACUAUUGUGCCAUCAUCUGGAUCAGACAUUUGGAUGUUUUUGUAUUUGUUUUCUGAUAGGUUGUCUGCGCCAUUUUGGGGAUGUGAUAUAUGUACGUACCUCAUGCAUCCACAUGAGGUUCUUAUUUUUGCUUUGUUGGCACAAUGGCAAUUAGUUGAUACGUCUUACACUCGUACGUAAACCCCGAUCAACACCUACAGGGCAACGUUUUGGAAUUCGACAACUAUUUGCUGUUCGCUGCUGGAGUGACUCGCUUAAUUUGGUAGCAGCUCUUCACCGCAACCAGUCAAUCGAUCGCGACCGUGCUAUCGGAUACAGCCGGAGUCUAAAUCAGCGUACACGACUGCAGCCACUACUUACAGGAACCGCAAGAUUUUUUGGGUUUCCUAUUUUCUACAUGGGAUAUUCAAGCUUGCGAUUGCUAGUCGCAGGAACAGGGUAGAAUUUGGUUUUUGGAGUGACAGCUUACUUUUCACACCAGAUCGGCUAACUCCCGGUUUGGUGGAGCUUUUUGCAGCCCAACAGCUCCUUCAUUCUGUUGUUCGCCUGUAGAUCAUUGGCCAGGAUGACUGUUUCCCCAUAGAAAGAAAUCUAAAUCAGAGCUAACAGCUGUCCAAGGUAUUGUUCCGGGUCGACCUAUCCAAGUUGUAAAUGGGUUGUUCAGUCAGUUAAUAACAGAUCGUGACGUAUGGUAAGGAGCACUAUCUUGUUGAAAGAUUUGAUCAUGUUUAACUUGUUCCAGUAGAGCGUCAAUAAGCGGAUAAUUCUGCUAGCUAAUAGGUUUAAAUACCGAUCACCAUUAAGAUGGCCUUCAUAAAAAAUAGAUAUUAUACCACACUAACUUCUGUAACCCUGCUUCUGAAUAAUUUUAACACGGUGUUUGUUACUAGUAGAUCUACUAAUAAUGCCGGUCGUAUUAAAAAAACUUUCGUCAGUCCAUAAUGCUGUUUCAAAUAUGGAUUCAAAGUAACGGUCCAUCAUUAGAGCGCAAAAUGUUGCUCUUGCAUCCUUAUCUUCAGCUGUUAAUAACUGAACAGGGAGGAAUUUUAAUGGAAAAUAAUUUUGAGUGAAUAGAGUUGAAUGCCAAUUUGACUGAGUUCUCGGGUUCGUUCUGGUGUUUUUUUAUGGCUGAAGUAUUUCGUAGGUUACGCACUAUUCUACUAAAAAUCUGUUUAGUAGGUAAUCUGCUUGCUGCAUAUAAUUGCCGGUACUCCCGAAGAGCCAAAGCUGGACUUUCAUUAUUGGGAAUAAAGCACUCAUAUAACUGGAAACGCACUUCAUCAGUGUAUGGAGCCAUAUUUUUGACAGUAAUAAGAUAAAAACGACGGAUUUACAUUUUACCUAGAGCCUGUGACAUUUCCGGCUUUUUUGUUUAUCAUAUUCUUCUUUAUUGACUUUUUAUUCGUUGUCAAGUAUAACACAGCACGAAACCCGCAGUAAAAUCGUCAUAUAAGAAUAUUAAUUUGACAAUCGUUCGAAAGCUAAACAUUUUCAGCAUAGACAACCUAAUCUUAUCCAAACUUAUUUUUAUUUUUAAUGGUAAAUAAGAUAAAAUUAUGAAAUUUGGGGGUUUCCAUUUAAUGAUUUUUGGAAGUUUUCUUAAUUUAGUAUUUAUUGUUACUUUUUGAACACCCUGUAUUAUUAGUCAUGAAAGGAUUAUAGAAGUUCUCUUAAACCCAAAUUAAAAAAUAACGAUUUCCUUUUAGAAAAAAAUUCUUGUUAGUCCUAGGGCCUGCAAAUGACAUAUUUGAGAUAAAAAUGUAGACAUAGGAAGACAUUGGUAUAGAGCAUUAUAUAUGAAAUUUUCCUAGAAACUUAGGUAGAAUCCAAAAAUGUAAUAAUGUGCAGGAUCCAUUAAAAAGUUGUGUUUACCCAAACAACAUAUUCUUGCUUGCUCCUGGGACAUACGGACAUGUCAGCAGUGGCGGAGCAUACGCAUCAUGUUUGAAGACACUCAGGUACUGGACAGGACAACACAUUUUUAUCCACGACUUUUCAGAGAAGCCAUUGAAAUUCAGAAACAUCAGAAUAAUUUCAACAGAAAAGAAAAAGGCCUUAACGUCAGCAGAACGUCAUAAACAAAAAAUCAUGUCUACCCGGACGAAUACGACCUAUGCCUAAUAGCGAGGCCUCGCCCACUCCAGCGCGCUUAUAUACCGGGGAUUCUCCACUAGGCAAAUCAGUCAUCGCAUCUUGAAAAUGUCUGCCGCAGUUGUAGACGAAACGUCGAGUGUAAUCUCGGGGCCACGGCUCAAAAGCCCGGAAAUACUUAGCAGUGUAGUUUGUGGCCGUGAAAGCCUAACAUCUUUGAUACACUGAUGUGUUUUUAAAACCCACCUGGUGGCGAUCUCUGUGUAUAAUUAUCUUGAGAGUCAUAAGCUCUUAGCAGUGUAUAUUUCGGUGAUUUUGGAAUUUUUCAAUUUUGAGGCACCUCUCAUAUCUCCGAUAUUCUAUGAAAUAUCGGAAAGGUGAAAAGGGCAUCCGAUGUUAUAUGUCCUAUAUGUUAUUCAAAAAGAUAAACCGAAACGUCAACCUAGAUAUUAAAACAAUUAUUUAAAGUGAUAAGGAACAUAAAAUUUUUUAGCAUUUUUUGCAAAUCUGAACAUAAUUCUUUUAAUUAAUAAAGCUACGUUUUAGUUUCAGUGUGGCCUGUUUACUAGGCACCGAAAUCGUAUAUCGUAUUCUUGGAGAUAAUUUGAUUGGUGUAGGUUGUGCUUUAGAGAAAAUGGUUGACACUUUCAACAGUUUUUUUGGCUUUUUAAAUUAAAGCGAUAGAAUUCAGAUUGGCAAAAAAUGUUAAUAUUUAAUGUUUUUUAUGUUUAUCUUUGGCGGAUCGGGUGCAGAUGGAGGCGGCCAGGACGGCUGUGAGGCUGGCGAGCUGCGGGCUCUGGAGGGAGGGAAGCUUCAAUCGGGGCUUGUACUACAUUUUAGAGGGCGGGCCUAAGGAUCGCGGGGUCAUGGGCAUGCCGAGUGAUGUCAUGAUCCCCGAGAUGACCUUCUUUGACAAAUGGACCUUUCUGUUCCCAUCAAUUGAAAAGUGGAGAGAGGGCAGAGUCGGCUUCUGGGAUGGACUUAUCUGGCACACGGACGGGUCCAGAAUUGGAGAUCAGCCGGAGCUGGAGCGUACUGCGAGACAACGGGAUCGAGCUUGGGUUUGGGUCAGUACUGCACUGUGUUUCAGGCGGAAAUUUUCGCUUUAUUGAUGGCGGCCAGAGAGUUGCUUUGGCUCAACCACGGAAGCAGGAGGGUCUUCUUCUGCUCGGAUAGGAGGGCUGCACUUAUGGAGCUGAAGUCAGUGCGCACGCGCUCCUUGUUGAUAAAGGAGUGCAAAGGGGUACUGAAGAGAGUGGCCGAGGAGAGGAAUGUCACGUUGCUCUGGGUCGCGAGAGUCACACCGGUAUCCGAGGCAAUGAGGCAGCGGACGGUAUUGGGCUACAAUAGUUGUUGACCUUCUAUAGAGGGGGGGGGGGACGCAGGGCGCCCCACUUUAGUACCAAUACCAAUACCCCUUCCUUUCCAACGGGUUUGCUAAAUCAUAAUUGCUAAUUUGAUAAGUCUGGUAGAAAAAAUUCCUUCUUGAGAGAAGUGUACUACGCAUCCAUCGUGUUGCAGCUACGCAUCUCCUCUCGUAGAGGGACGUUUUUUUUUUUUUUUAUAAAAUCGGCAAGUAGUUAAAUCGAUCACCCAAAAUACGACUCUCGACUUUCACAUUCGACCUCUUUUGAUAAUUCGCUUUCACGCAUCCAAUGGAAAUUCACUGGCGAUAAUGCAUAUUAUGCAUUGCAUUGAAAGGCAUCAAUAUACAUGCUAUGCAAAUUGACUAUUUCUUUGCUCGAAAAAGUAGCUUCAUUUGUUCAUAAUAUUCGAAAUAAAAAAUGUGGGCUCCUCAUCUAUCCUACAAUUUAGCCAAUUAUAGUAUUCUAUUCAAAGAGAAUUUUAAGUAAUUUAGUAUAACGGCGUAGGUAGUGGUCUUUUAGAAUUCAGUGUAUCGAUGUUUUACUAAUACCCAAGUUAAGCCUGAAUGGGCCAUAGGCAAAAACAAUGAUGACGUUUCGUCCUGUUUUGAGCCAAUAUUUACUUAAACGACUACGACUUUAGGAUAAGAAAAAUAUAUUGGCGGUUUUCACUGGGUUGUUCAUUUGUUUGACUAUUAAUAAAAAAUCAUAUCUUCGCAUUUUUUUCUUUACAAAAUUCUGUCUAGUGCCAUUUCAGAACCUCAAGAAUAAUUUUGGUCAUUCAAUUUUUUUUUCAAAAUUUUAAAAACAUGCAUUUCCCCAAUAUCGUACCUAAUUGCCCCUACUAAGACACACACAUAGAUUAAAAGGAAGCUGGUAUAAAGGAAAUGAUUAAGUUAGAACUUGAUCAUAUUUAUUUAUUGAAGACCUUUUUAAAAUUAAAACAAUAAAAACAAAACAAAACAAUAAAAUAAAAACAAUAUGUGAGUAUGUCCAUGAUUUGAACAAAUUUAAAAAUUAUAAUUAAUAACUGACCGAUAAAACUGAGCAAUGAGUUUUUUGCAGGUUAAUUGCAAGGUCAUAGUAAUGUUUUUUCUAAAUCUCAUGGAGGUAAGAAGUUGAGAAUGUUUAGCUCCACAUUUUGUAGCUAAGCCCUUCAUGACAUUUCCAUCCAUUCCAAAUCUUCUGUGGUCUGUGAAUAUUGUAUACGGCUUCCUUUUGGGAAUCACAUCUCUAAUUUUAAGAGACAAUAUGCUUUUAAAAAUGAUAGAAAUAGGUUUUGUUCCUUUGCCUCCUGUAACCACUCUUAAAUUGUUUGAAUAUAAUUUUUUCCGCGGUAAUUAAGGAUUCAGCAUAAACUGCCUGAUUAAAUAUGGUGGUUUGAGCUGGUACAUAUUCACCACGUCACACCACACACACGCACACCAUCACACGCACACCACCAUAGACACACCACCACACCAGGAUCGGACAAUUACUCCCAUUCAUUUCUUUAAAAUUUGCAUUUAAUAUUGAAAUUGUAUAAAUAGAACAAAUGUGGCACUGGAACAUAUGAUAUCGGGAUUUAGCGUUAAAUUUUAGUUACAAGAGAAUAGCUUCAUUUUGUUUGAUUCCGGCCUUAACCCCUACGUCCUGUUCUCAAACUUCAGCCAUCUGAAAUCCAAGAUACCUAAAUUUAGCUACUUGUUGUAGCACUUCGUUAUUUACCCUUGUGUUCGUUGGCCCAAAUACCUUUUUGGAAAUAACCGCAACAUUAUUCUUAGAACAUUGUGUUCAGUUCGUAUUCGUUCCCGACUUUUGUAACUCUUGAAGCGAAGCUUCGUUUUCCGUAUCCGUAGAUUGUUUAAGACCUCCCUAUUUAUUUUAACAUCUUUCACGAAACCAUUUAAAAAUCUUUCGCUUUAAGAGAUCAAUUCUCUCGACCGCUCUCUCAUAAUCGAUAGUGUGGUGGGAAUUUGCAAGUUACUGAUUUUAAAAUGUCUAAACUUUACUCAGUAUAUGCCGCAUUCACAAGACUUUCUCGAUCUCGGAAAAGUCUUACCAUAUAAUCUUCUCUUGUGUAGUUAUUUUUUUGGAUAUUUUUAAGAUUUUAUUUUCGUUGUGAAGCAGUCGAUGCGGAGGUUUACUUUUAAAUAAACCAUAGAUUUCCUUUUAUAAAAUCAUGGUCAUCGCGCAUCGUCACGCAUCAUCUGGAGCGCGUCAAUCUACCUGUAGGAUUUUAUAGUUGACUCUUCCUUCGCUUCUGUGAUUUUCAGUUUUAUUUGUGAGUAUUAAUAUUUAUCUUGUAGUCUGGGGCUUAUAGUGUCUCGCUUUUGACAAUUGUUUCCUUAACAGUUUCCAAUAGUGAUUGUGUGUCAUUUCCUUCAGUGUAAUUUCUUGCCUUUCAUUUUGUUCGAAAUGUUUGCUUUAAUUUCUUUGUCAUUAAGUAGUGCGAUGUUCAUUUUCUUCUGUCUUGUUUAAAUCUGUCUUCGGUUUAUGUCUAUAUAAUUAUUUCUGAAGUGUAUUCUGAUCGUUAUGUGUUCAAUCUCAGCCCUGUUUGUCGUCCUAUGGCGAUCUCCAGCUGUAAAGACUGCGUAAGGGUAAUCUAAAGCAUGCAUUGCAUGCAUUGGUCAUAUCGUCCUCGCUCUGUUCUCAUUCUUCGCCCCGUGGCCAUUUUAAUUCCUACAACGGACUCAAGGCCAUUACAUUACAUUUUUAGUUAUGUAUACUUGGAGCAAUAGUUAAUGGUUCUGACUAAUUCGUGCCCAUUCUAAUCCUCCUGGUAUUGUGCUCACGAUCAGUAAAGGAUCACCCGUUGCCGUUAUCUCUUCUAUACUACCCUUAGUGGGGCUGCUAUUCUGCCAGAUCUGCCUUGUAGGAGCUUAACACUGCUUUUCUUGUAUUACGUAAUGAACUCAAAUUAUCGAAUAACCGUUUUAUGCUCAUAAGCACGAAACAACCAGAUCAGUAAAUUCAUCUUUAUAAAAUAAAAAUGUUACAUAGCCAUUAGGGUUUGUUUCUGAGCUACCGGUACAAUUACAAAAUCCGACAUUUUGGUUAUCGCUUAAAUAGUUGGUGUUACUGAGUUGGAUUAUCAUUGAAAAAAUCAAUUUAAAAAUAGAGGGCAUAAUCUCCCGUGAUUAAAUCUUCAGAAAAUAAAUACUUUUCGUUUUUCUAACACGCCAGUUAUUUGUCGGUCGUGGGGACAACCGUCCGUCCGUCCGUCUUUUUUAUUGCUUCCCCAUUUUACGCGGGGAGAGGACAAUGCAUGGCGAACAAUUCUAGCGAGUAAGUAAUAAAUUAUUUAUUUAGACUAGGUUUUUUUUCUCUGGAGAUAUUAGUUACGUUAAAGUACAAUGACGCAUAAGAUUUGCAGCAAUCCAAUGGAAGUGCCCUGUAAUUAGUUUACUAGUAUUACUCAGGAUCAAAUAAUGCCACUAGUUAAUAUUUGGUUCAAAUAGAAAUGGUUUAAUUUUUGGAUAUGUGGUCCAAUUUUUCUAAUUCAACACAAACUGUGGAUGGAAUAACUGGUCUCAACUUGCAUAUCCAGAAUUUUGUUUAAAGCUAGCGUUGUUUUUUGGUUUGUAUUUUUGCAUUGGUUUGUUUUCAAGAGCGAAAUAACUUUUGACCAACAGUGUGCUUUAAGAAAAGUAUGACUCCCUACUCUUAAUUCUGCUUGUUUGCAAGAAAUUUUCGGUCACUCUUGAUAGCACAGCGAUCAAUAUGAAGAAUCGUUGUCAUGUUCAUCUUUGACAUGAUAAUUUGGAUAAAUUUCAGUACUUAAAAAUAGUUGUAUGGACCCACAUUUUUCUUCUUUAGGUGUUCGACGUUCAUUUCCCUCCUAUUCACUAACAAAUGCAUUUAAAGGCAAUGAAUGCACAAAAUGUGUUCCACUAGGUGUUUUAAUAUUAUGGUAAGUAGUAACUUUUUUAUGCAUUCUUAUACUGGCCAAAAAAACACUUAACGAAAUGUAAUGUAAUGUAAAUGUAAUGUAAGUCAAAACAAAAAAAAAGUUUUACAAUUUUAUCGAACACUAACUUCUUGCAUUAUUGUGGAACUGACUGCAU